UUGCCAGACUCCUACGGGAGGCAGCAGUGGGGAAUAUUGCACAAUGGGGGAAACCCUGAUGCAGCAACGCCGCGUGAGUGAAGAAGUAUUUCGGUAUGUAAAGCUCUAUCAGCAGGGAAGAGAAUGACGGUACCUGACUAAGAAGCCCCGGCUAACUACGUGCCAGCAGCCGCGGUAAUACGUAGGUGGCGAGCGUUGUCCGGAUUUACUGGGCGUAAAGGGAGCGUAGGCGGACUUUUAAGUGAGAUGUGAAAUACUCGGGCUCGACUUGAGUGCUGCAUUUCAAACUGGAAGUCUAGAGUGCAGGAGAGGAGAAUGGAAUUCCUAGUGUAGCGGUGAAAUGCGUAGAGAUUAGGAAGAACACCAGUGGCGAAGGCGAUUCUCUGGACUGUAACUGACGCUGAGGCUCGAAAGCGUGGGGAGCAAACAGGAUUAGAUACCCCGGUAA
rnacentral:rRNA from 1 species